rnacentral:tRNA from 1 species
AUUUAAAUAGCUUAAAAAGAGUAUAAUAUUGAAGAUAUUAAGGUGAUAAUUUAAUCUUUAAAUA